UACAGAGGGUGCAAGCGUUGUUCGGAAUCACUGGGCGUAAAGCGCACGUAGGCGGAUUGUUAAGUCAGGGGUGAAAUCCUGGAGCUCAACUCCAGAACUGCCUUUGAUACUGGCGAUCUUGAGUCCGGGAGAGGUGAGUGGAACUGCGAGUGUAGAGGUGAAAUUCGUAGAUAUUCGCAAGAACACCAGUGGCGAAGGCGGCUCACUGGCCCGGUACUGACGCUGAGGUGCGAAAGCGUGGGGAGCAAACAGG
rnacentral:rRNA from 1 species